AAGCAUAAGGGAUGAACCAACAACAAGUUUAGCAAGAACCACAAAUGAACAAUGAAGCAAGGUUGAAACUGAACUUCUCAGUUCACCCUCGCCAACAUGUCAAUGAGCUGUUGACAUUAUUAAGUCAUUCAUGAACAAAGAUGAGAUAGGAUCCCUGCUAAACAAAAGAUAGAGGAAGACCCGCAACAAGACGGGGAAGAGAUCAAGAACAAAUCCCUAGAGCUCC
rnacentral:lncRNA from 1 species